rnacentral:rRNA from 1 species
CACGUAGGGCGCAAGCGUUGUCCGGAAUUAUUGGGCGUAAAGAGCUCGUAGGCGGUCUGUUGCGUCCGCUGUGAAAACUCGGGGCUUAACCCCGAGCCUGCAGUGGAUACGGGCAGACUAGAGGUAGGUAGGGGAGAAUGGAAUUCCCGGUGUAGCGGUGAAAUGCGCAGAUAUCGUGAGGAAGACCGGUGGCGAAGGCGGAUCUCUGGACAGUUCCUGACGCUGAGGCGCGAAGGCCAGGGGAGCAAACGGG